UAGGGAAUCUUCCGCAAUGGGCGAAAGCCUGACGGAGCAACGCCGCGUGAGUGAUGAAGGUCUUCGGAUCGUAAAACUCUGUUAUUAGGGAAGAACAUAUGUGUAAGUAACUGUGCACAUCUUGACGGUACCUAAUCAGAAAGCCACGGCUAACUACGUGCCAGCAGCCGCGGUAAUACGUAGGUGGCAAGCGUUAUCCGGAAUUAUUGGGCGUAAAGCGCGCGCAGGUGGUUUAAUAAGUCUGAUGUGAAAGCCCACGGCUCAACCGUGGAGGGUCAUUGGAAACUGUUAAACUUGAGUGCAGGAGAGAAAAGUGGAAUUCCUAGUGUAGCGGUGAAAUGCGUAGAGAUUAGGAGGAACACCAGUGGCGAAGGCGGCUUUUUGGCCUGUAACUGAUACUGAGGCGCGAAAGCGUGGGGAGCAAACAGGAUUAGAUACCCUGGUAGUCCACGCCGUAAACGAUGAGUGCUAAGUGUUGGGAGGUUUCCGCCUCUCAGUGCUGCAGCUAACGCAUUAAGCACUCCGCCUGGGGAGUACGACCGCAAGGUUG
rnacentral:rRNA from 1 species